rnacentral:rRNA from 1 species
CUUUGGAUUACAAUUUUGGUUUUAAAUUAUGGAUGCUGGCUUGGAGUUGGUUUGCUGAAGGCGGAUUUGUGAGUAACUUUGCUCUAGGGUUGUAAAGUGAAUGGUGGAAUAACAUGUGUACAUAUUGCCCGUCGCUCUCGUUAUUUUUGAGAUAAGUCGUAACAUAGUUGGUGCACUGGAAAGUGUGUCUUUUUGU